GAUGAACGCUAGCUACAGGCUUAACACAUGCCAGUCGAGGGGAAACGACAUCGAAAGCUUGCUUUUGAUGGGCGUCGACCGGCGCACGGGUGAGUAACGCGUAUCCAACCUGCCCAUCACUUGGGAAUAACCUUGCGAAAGUAAGACUAAUACCCAAUGACAUCCCACGAAGACAUCUGAAUGGGAUUAAAGAUUUAUCGGUGAUGGAUGGGGAUGCGUCUGAUUAGCUUGUUGGCGGGGUAACGGUCCACCAAGGCAACGAUCAGUAGGGGUUCUGAGAGGAAGGUCCCCCACAUUGGAACUGGGACACGGUCCAAACUCCUACGGGAGGCAGCAGUGAGGAAUAUUGGUCAAUGGGCGAGAGCCUGAACCAGCCAAGUAGCGUGCAGGAUGACGGCCCUAUGGGUUGUAAACUGCUUUUAGAAGGGAAUAAAGUGGGUCUCGUGAGACUUUUUGCAUGUACCUUAUGAAUAAGGACCGGCUAAUUCCGUG
rnacentral:rRNA from 1 species